rnacentral:rRNA from 1 species
GAUGAACGCUGGCGGCGUGCCUAAUACAUGCAAGUCGAGCGAACAGAUGAAGAGCUUGCUCCUCUGACGUUAGCGGCGGACGGGUGAGUAACACGUGUAUAACCUACCUAUAAGACUGGGAUAACUUCGGGAAACCGGAGCUAAUACCGGAUAAUAUAUUGAACCGCGGGGUUCAAUAGUAAAAGACGGUGUUUCUGUCACUUAUAGCUGGAUCCGCGCCGCUUUAGCUAGUUGGUGAGGUAACGGCUUACCAAGGCUACGAUGCGUAGCCGACGUGUGAGGGUGGUCGGCCACCUUGGAACUGAGCCACGGUCAAGACGCCUACGGGAGGCAGCAGUAGGGAAUGUGCCGCAAUGGGCGAAAGCCUGACGGAGCAAGGCCGCGUGUGUUAUGACGGUCUUCGGAUCGUAAUGCUCGGUUAUUAGGUAAGAACAAAUGUCUAAGUAGAUAUGCACGUCUUGACGGUACCUAAUCAGAAAGCAACGGCUAACUACGUG